rnacentral:rRNA from 1 species
UUCUGCAGCCAUACCACCCUGAACACGCCCGAUCUCAUCUGCUCUCGGAAGCUAAGCAGGGUUGGGCCUGGUUAGUACUUGGAUGGGAGAAA